rnacentral:tRNA from 1 species
UCCCUGGUGGCUCAGAUGGUAAGGAUCUGCCUGCAAUGCAGGAGACCUGGGUUUGAUUCCUGGCUUGGGAA